GUCAAUACACAUCAACUAUUCUGAGAGCAAGAGUUGGAGCUACACUUUUCACACUUUCAAGUGAACCCGACGGAAGAUUAAAAGGCCCAAGAAUUCAGAUUCAAAAAUAUUGAUAAACCAUGACAGCUUUGACAGACAGCAAAUGUGAGAAAAGGACUGUCAAAGGCUUGCAGAGCAUUUCAUGGACUGCGCUUGUUCUGCCCUGUCUGUGUCAUUGAUCCAGGUCCCUGCUGCCACUCAGGGCCGUGUGGGAAAUGUGAGCACCAACUAUGGUCAGUAGCCCCAAAUCAGGAAAAUAUGGGACAGUGAAGCACAAGUCAGCAGAUGCAUGGUUGAAAACAGGUGCAUGUGACUGAUAACAAAGAAACACAAAUGGAGGAGGAAAAAAAAACCUCUCAAGUUUUUCUGCACAUGAGAAGGAAAGGUUACAGUUCACUGGCAGGAAAGGCUGUGGAAAAUGGCGGAAGAGGAGACAAAAUUUUGAGAGGAGGCUGAAGAAGGCAGACCAUAGGAGAUCAGGGAUGGUUUUGUUUUCAUGUGGAACAUAAAGGUUAACUAUGUAAUGAAUUAUUAAUUUGUCUUGAAUGGUAGUCCAAAAUGGGCAAGAAUUGUCAGCUAUUUUUGUAAUACACAAAAUGUUUACUUUCAUUAGAAAAGAAUAAAGAGUGUAAGAUAUUCAGUAUUUAUCAUUUUGCAGUUCUGUAUAAGAUAAAUUUAUACCCUACUGAGAAAAUCACAAAUUCCUUCAGAGACUCCUUGAAAAAAGUAAUCAGUGCAGCAGCAGACACAUAAAGCUGUCUAACUACAAUUCAGUCUUCACUAAUCCAGAAACAUUCAUAUCGGGGGAGCUAGUUCACCAGAAGUGUUCUGUAGACUUGAAGCCUGUACUAGAUCUAACUGGGGCACAGCUUCAAUGUUAAGUGGCUCAACCUCCAAAUUUGGUUCAUUUCUAGCAGAAGUUACUUGAUUUGCAUGAACACUUUUUGAACAACAGAUUUUGUCCCCAAUUUCAAAUACUUCUUGGUUCCACAAACCCCUAUACGGUUCCUAAGUCCCAGUCGUGUGACCUUGAUUCCCUAGGAACACAAACACACUCAUUUUGCUUGAAGUUGUCUUCCUUCUGUUUAGUUUAUGGUGAUAUUUUUGAUUGAAGAUACAAAACCACAUUAAUGACCUUAAUGUCAAACUUGCAUAGAGAAUAUAAAUGUAUGUAAAACAAAGGUAAACCAAUGGAUUCUAUUUUCAUUUUUAGAAUACCAUGGUUCAUACUCAUUGGUAAUUUUAACAAUGCAGUUCACGUAAUCAAUUGCAGAGGUUCACUCACAGAAAGCCAGACAGAGUGAGAAAUAAAAAAAAGCACAGGGAUAGAUAAUAUAGGCUGCACUAAUGACUGAGUAUUCAAGAGUACAUCACCAACAAAAUUCAAGUAACGAACAACUGGAAAAUCAGACUUAUAAUUUGUCAUUAAUGGAUUUCAAAUCAAUCUUAGAUUGCCAAGAUAGCAUCCAGGAUGGAUGGCCUAUUUACUCCAUUAUAACGUGUUCAGGUGUAGGAAUCAGUUAUUCUAAAGGAAUAUACAUCCAGUGACAAUGUAGUUUAUAAAUUAUGUGCUUCCAAGUCUAAGGGUCAGAUUGUGCUCGGUCAGUAUAUCCGGACCAGGUAUGC